rnacentral:tRNA from 1 species
AGAAAUUUUAUUAUUGUAAAACAUCUUGCUUCGGGAGCAAGAGGUCGCAGGUUCAAAUCCUGUCACUCCGACCA